UCAUCAUUAAUCCCCAAAAUUAAUAUUUUAAUUAAACUACCUCCUG
rnacentral:tRNA from 1 species